AGAGCUAAUACAUGCGACAAAGCUCCGACCCUCGUUGGAAAGAGCGCUUUUAUUAGAUCAAGACCAACCGGUAUCGCUCCUCGUGGGCGUGCCGUCGGAUUGAUGACUCUGGAUAACCUUCGCCGAUCGUAUGGCCCCGCGCCGACGACGCAUCUUUCAAAUGUCUGCCCUAUCAACUUUCGUUGGUAGGUGAUUUGCCUACCAAGGUGUUUACGGGUAACGGGGGAUCAGGGUUCGA
rnacentral:rRNA from 1 species